rnacentral:lncRNA from 1 species
AGGGUUGCACCUCCUAACAGUGCCAGUCCCUGGGUCAAGCAUAUUCACUCCACAAGGCCUACCCAGGCAGGGAAGAGCUAUUAAGCUUCUCUGUCAGAUUAUAAUAUAGAAUGUACUAGUUACUAGUUGGUUUUUGGGGUUUUUUGUUUUGCCCACUUUGGUUUCAGUUUGUUUUGUUUUUUCUUUUUUCUUUUUUUCGGAGCUGGGGACCGAACCCAGGGCAGGCAAGCGCUCUACCACUGAGCUAAAUCCCCAAUCCCAUUUUGUUUGUUUUUAAGACAGGGUUUUUCUAUGUAGCCCUGGGCCAGGUUGGCCUUGAACUCAGAGAACUAUUUGCCUCUGCCUUCUGAGUGUUGGCAUUAAAAGCAUGUGCCACCUCCACCCAAAGUCACCUGUAUUAGUCAGGGUUCCCUAAAGGAUGGAUAUUAAAGUUAGAUUUAUUAGAGUUGUUUAUAGGCUGUGGUCUGGGUAGGCCAUAAUGGGUGUCUACUGAUGGAAAGGCCAAUCAUCCUUGGUUCUGUCCAGGAGACUAGUUAUCUCAGCAGUUUCAAUCUGGUGCUAGGGUCCUAGAAGAUUCCUAAAGAGCUCCUGGUCUUUAAUCUGUGUUGGAAUCCCAAAAAGUAGGUUCUAAAAUGAGCAAAGGAAUGCCUCAGAACCUUGAUGGAUCAAUUUGCCAGUGUGCUGGCAAGAGAGUGGGGAGAGAGAGGGGAUGGCAGAAGGAGGCCCAUAGCUAGCCUUGCAGGCUCAUGCUGUAAUUGGAAACUGAAAGUCAGGGAUGAGGAAAGUGUAGCAGCAAAGGAAACCUACUUUCUUGUGGUAAUGAAUACAAAUCUCUCUGCUUGAGUGACCGGUGCAUGCGAAGCAUGUGUGUUCAGUGCAAGUGUGCUCAAUGCAGGUAUGUUCAGGGCAGGUGUGCUCAAUGCAGGUGUGUUCAGGGCAGGUGUGCUCACUGCAGGUGUGUUCAGGGCAGGUGUGCUCACUGCAGGUGUGUUCAGGGCAGGUGUGUUCAGUGCAGGUGUGUUCAGUACAGGUGUGUUCAGUGCAAGUGUGCUCAAUGCAGGUGUGUUCAGUGCAGAUGUGUUCAGUGCAGGUGUGUUCAGGGCAGGUGUGCUCAAUGCAGGUGUGUUCAGGGCAGGUGUGUUCAGUACAGGUGUGUUCACUGCAGGUGUGUUCAGUACAGGUGUGUUCAGUGCAAGUGUGCUCAAUGCAGGUGUGUUCAGUGCAGAUGUGUUCAGUGCAGGUGUGUUCAGGGCAGGUGUGCUCAAUGCAGGUGUGUUCAGGGCAGGUGUGUUCAGUGCAGGUGUGUUCAGUUCAGGUGUGUUCAGUGCAGAUGUGUUCAGUGCAGAUGUAUUCAGUGCAGGUGAGUUCAAUGCAGGUGUGUUCAGGGCAGGUGUGUUCAAUGCAAGUGUGCUUAAUGCAGGUGUGUUCAGGGCAGGUGUGUUCAAUGCAAGUGUGCUUAAUGCAGGUGUGUUCAGGGCAGGUGUGCUCAGGGAAGGUGUGUUUAGGGUAUGUGUGUUCAGUACACACACACACACACACACACACACACACACACACACCUUUAAAUAGAAAGUUUCUAGAUUGCUUUGCCCUUUUGUUCUUUCAAUUUACAAAGUGUAAUAGGUAAACUAAUGAACUUUUUCACAAACACUAAUUUCCCCUUGAGGAGAAAUGACUUUACUGUGUUAUCAGGACACUUCAAUUCGAAUCUCUGUUUUAACGAGUUUCAGUUAGUUAACACAAAUACUAAUAGAAAAAAAGAGCAGUGGUUUUGGGUAUCAGAAAUCUAAGAACAACUGAAAAUGCUAUUAUAUAUUAAUUCACCUCAUUUAAAGUCAUUUACAUGAGUUUUAUGAAAAUACAUCAUGUUAAGUAUUUCCACUAGUGGUAAUUUUAUAAAGCUCGUGAAGAAAAUUUGUUUAAAUCUUCUGUUCUUCAAAAUGAGACUUUUUCUUAUAUCCUGUUUCUCCUCAUACAAAAACAAAGCAGAAAAAAACCCCAAAACUCCACUAAGAAGAGAAGAUACUGUCCUCGAAUACUAAAAUGUGUUGAAAUAUUAGGAAUAUUAAGGCCCAGACUGAUCCUUCUACACUGAAAUAUCUUUUGAAAUUACAACAUAGCAAAGGUUCUGGGUUUAAAAAAAAAAGGUUAUUGGUGGACCAGCCUGACAAGAUCUUAAGAUUAGAAGACAUUGUAUUACAAGGUCAAAAUACGUUCAUUUUUGUUUUCUGUAAAACUUGGAUUUGACCAGAUCUUGGCCCAUCUUCUAGAAUUUGACAUGUUCCAUACCCUACAUCCUGGAAUCCACCCUUAUAAGAUGUUCUUCCAAAUAAUUUCUAAAUGUUCAGUCCAGUUCCUAUGUAACCAAAAUUCCUCUAGAAAUUCCUGAACCCAUGAAAACCCCACAGUCUUACAGUUUUAGGAGCCUAUGUAACCCCUGCUCUCUCUGUGUUCAACGCUACUUUUCAAACCCUGCUUCAGGGAGAUAUCCCUACCUGUCAGAAAAGGAAACAUGGAUAAUUUGACUAAAGAAUUUGGGUAAUGGUCUUUACUCUUGUUUGCCUGGAUUAAGCCAUUUGUGAU